GACGAACGCUGGCGGCGUGCUUAACACAUGCCAGUCGAACGGAAAGGCCCUGCUUGCAGGGUACUCGAGUGGCGAACGGGUGAGUAACACGUGGGUGAUCUGCCCUGCACUUCGGGAUAAGCCUGGGAAACUGGGUCUAAUACCGGAUAGGAGCCAUUUUUAGUGUGAUGGUUGGAAAGUUUUUUCGGUGUAGGAUGAGCUCGCGGCCUAUCAGCUUGUUGGUGGGGUAAUGGCCUACCAAGGCGGCGACGGGUAGCCGGCCUGGGAGGGUGGACGGCCACAUUGGGACUGAGAUACGGACCAGACUCCUACGGGAGGCAGCAGUGGGGAAUAUUGAACAAUGGGAGCAAGCCUGAAGCAGCGACGCCGCGUGGGGGAUGACGGCCUUCGGGUUGUAAACUCCUUUCGCUAGGGACGAAGCUUUUUGUGACGGUACCUAGAUAAGAAGCACCGGCUAACUACGUG
rnacentral:rRNA from 1 species